ACUAAAACAGUUUCUACAGAUCGAAAAGAAGAUGAUUUGACUCAAAUCCAUAACAGUUGAUAUCCAGAACUCCAGCUUGGCCAUUCUUACAUCUGCGACAGUGAUUAACCAGGAUGCUUUUUUCAAUAGCUAUUUUAUUAUUGCAUUUUUCCACAUCAUAAGGUUCUAUUUUUAUUUUUUGAGCUCAUACAAACCUAGGUUAAUGUUUUUCUGAUCAGUUUUAUUUUUUGACUGUGGAGUUUUUAAACAUUGCAAUGGAGAUUUCACCUAGGUAAAGCUACAAGGCCUUUACUAUUUUCUUAUGUGUUGUACGUUUGUGUACACUCUUGUGUUUUGUGUUGUAUGUCUGUAUGUGCGUAUGUCCAUAUUUCUUGUAUGAGGAGCGCUCAUGAAAAAAUGGAUCCGAAUUAUUAUUAUUUUUUUAUUCACGUGAUUUAAAUCGUUUAAUUUAAAUUAUGUAAACAGCUGUUAAGGAUUGUUUUUAAAGGUGGUUAACAGAUGUUUGUUUACUAAUUUAAAUUAGGUAAAAAGCUGUUAAGGAUUGUUUUUAAAGUAGGUUAACAGAUCUGUUUGUUUACUUUCACCUUUCCUUUUCAUUAUAUUUAAUAAUUCUUUUCAGGAUAAUGUCUCUUUAGCAUCAUUGCCAGAAUUCCUAUCUCCAUCCCAGUGCCGGUGAAGAACUCAACAAGUAAUGCUCAAUCAAAGAGUCAACUUACUUUGGGAGGAAACGGAUUUUGGGAGGAAAUGGACAUAUUGAUAGAUUCCUCUGCUUUGAACUGCUUGCAGAACUUGCCUGGACUAUGUAACUAUCGUUUGGUGCAGCGAAUUGUGGUAAUGCUGGCAUAUCUUUGCUGAUGGUGUCACUAGUGAUGCAAUUUUUAUUUCCUUGCCAGCGCACCCCAUGUUAAUUGUGGUAGUGCUGACAUAUCUUUGCUGGUGGUGUCACCAGUGAUGCAAUUUUUCCCAAGGAGCCGUCAAUUGGCUUGGUGUCGUGGCAUUUCUGAUUCCUCCUCCCUUCUGCUAGUGAUGGUCUAAAAUUUGGGGGCCAAUGGCUUAUGCUGGACCGGUAGUCAGUGACGGGUAUGAUCCAAUUGCAGUGGUAUCAACCUAAGACAGGAGGCUGACGCCUAAAGGUCAGUUUUCCGAUGACGGGUAAGAACCAUAUGUUGAAUUGGACAACCUACCAGGCACGGUCCAUAAGCCACAUUAACCUCACUCCCCCACUGGCACCAAGGCCAAAUUUGGGGGCCAACAGAGGUGAGGCAAAGAACCUCACCCCCCCACUGGUGCAUAGACCUAUCCACAAGUAUGGCUGUAUGCUGGACCGGUAGUCAGUGACGGGUAUGAUUCAAUUGCAGUGGUAUCAACCUAAGACAGGAGGCUGACGCCUAAAGGUCAGUUUUCCGAUGACGGGUAAGAACCAUAUGUUGAAUUGGACAACCUACCAGGCACGGUCCUUAAGCCACAUUGCUUGUUGUUUAAUUAAUCAGAAGGGGGGAGAUGCUGGGAGCCAUUAGCCAAGUAAGUAUGACAAUUUCCUUGCCAGCGUACCCCAUGUUGCAGUGACAUUGAAUGUACUUAACCUUGCUCAAGGACCAAGGCAGAUUAGGGUGUUCCCGGUUUUAAGAUAAUCUUGUUUAGGGCGUUCCCAGUUUAGGUUCCAGGUUUAAGGUUUAAGAUUAUUCCUGCUGGGAAUAGGGCGUAUCCUGCUGCCUGAGUUCCCCUUGAGUUCUCACGGGAUUCAGACAGUAUAUUUUGGAGAUAGAAGCCCAGUGGAGGUGAGUUUGGGAGAGAAGGUGGAUUUGGGAAGAGAACGUGGAUUUCCCCAGAACGUGUUUGUAGACGGCUGGUGUGAGUUCGGGAAUAAAGAGUUGCUGUUUGAAUCUACAAGCUGUGUGGUGGCUCGUGAUUGUGUGCCCAGCCAGACUGCGGCAUUUGUGCCCAGCCAGACGGCAUUUGUGCCCAGCCAGACUGCGGCAGAUAGUAAGUAUGUUUUUACGUAGAUAUUUGCAGUGUUGUGCAAAUAUUUUAUAAACUAAAUUACUACAUAAGUAAACAAUAAGGCAAACCAUUAAAAUUUCAUAAAAUACUGCCAGAUUGCCUUCCAAAAAUUAUUUGUAAUGAUUUCUAUUUUGAUGAAGGAUUUUAAUAUUGCUUUGAGUUGGCACUUUGUAAACAGUGAAAAUUUUGUCUUGUUUCUUUGAUUAUAUGAAUUACAAAAGAAUUUAUUUUACUAAUAAUCUGUCUUUAAUGUUCAGUUUUUCUCACAGCAUGGGAGUAAAUAAUGAGCUAUAUUGUUUAUCUAACUUGGUGAGCCAAAUAUUUACAGAUUUGCAAUUGUGAAAUCUCAACACCUUAGUCUUUUACUUGAUGGAAGUUCUUGUACAUAUUUGGUUUUUGUUGUACAUUAUUGAGCAAUUACUAAACAUACCAGCCAAUUCAAAAAUAUUCAGUUAUACACAUAUUAACACCAUAAUCUACCCAAAUAAAUCCCCACAAAAAAUAAAACUUCCUAUUUUGGGGGUUGUUUUUGGUUUUGAUUUUCUUUUUGUUUUUUGUUUUAUUUUUAUUUAGUUUUUAGUGAUUGAACCCAGGGCCUUGUGUAUGCUAAGCUAGAGCUCUACCACUGAGGUAUGCCCUUGGCCCAAAAUUUUCUGUUUUAAUUCCACUUUUGGUUUUAAUCCUUUCUAAAUAAAGCUCACAGAAAUGCCUGGAAGUUGGACUGGGGAUGUGGCUCAAGCGGUAGCGCGCUCGCCUGGCAUGCGUGCGGCCCAGGUUCGAUCCUCAGCACCACAUACAAACAGAGAUGUUGUGUCCGCCGAAAAAUAAAAAAAAAAAAAAAAAAGAAAGAAAUGCCUGGAAGCACAAAUGAACUAUUUUUGCCCAUUUUUUCUUGAAUAUUGUGAAUGUAGACUUCUUUCCUAUAAAUUCCAGCUGAGUUUCUAAAUGUUUUACUAUGAUAAUCUCCAUCUCCUCACUCCCACCAGUCCCAGGACUGCCACUAGAGUGCAGAUCUAUAGGCAAAUACUUUUUAAAAUGAUCUUAUCUAUAUAAACUACUUAAAUAAAGAUGUAUCAUAAAAUUCAUAGUUCAUGUGCAAGUGGUAUUGUGGUUUACUGAAGAUUUGGAAUAAUGGGCUAUUAGUUUAUUGUCCAGUCAGAGCAUGUAAAAUCCUUCUUUUUUAAAAUAUUUUUUUAGUUGCUGAUAGACCUUCAUUUAUUUAUAUGUGGUGCUCAGAAUCAAACCCAGUGCCUCACACGUGCCAGGCAAGUGCGCUACUGCUGAGCCCCAGCCCUGUAAAAUCCUUCUUGAUACCGAGGUAUCAUCUCUUCUUGUUUGGUCCAGGAGUUAUUUCUUUAUUUCCUUUAUUAUCAAAUAAGCCAUUCCUUGUCAACUUCAUACCUGUCACUACAAAAAAGGGGUAACAAUACUGUUAUUACUUAUAAUGCUAUGGCUCUUUGUAACAUGUUUAUAUUGGAAUAAUAUGAAUUUUCUACUUCUGAAAUGUCUGUUGUGGUUUGGAUGAGAGGUGUUCUGCAAAAGCUCACAUGUGAGGCAAUGCAAGAAAGAUCAAGCCUGAUAGUGGUAACUGAAGCGGUAGGGUGUGGCUAGAGGAGGUGGGAACUGGGAGCGUGGCUUUGGGGUAUAUAUUUGUAUCUGGCGAAUAGAGACCUCUCUCUGCUUUCUGAUCACCAUGUGAGCUGCUUUCCUCUGCCACACUCUUCCACCAUAAUGUCCUGCCUCACCAGGAGCCCCAAGGAAUACAUUCUGCUGUCCAUGGACUAAGACCUCUGAAACCGAAAGAACAGGUAGAGAGUGAACAGAGAAACCAAGAAGCAUAUUCCAAGUGCCAUUUGUUUCUCUGCCAGCCCCUCAGAGACAAGAUCUGAGAAAGGCCACUGCCAGACCAUCUUGGCCCUUGUUGAAGUAGAGGUCUCAGCACUGCUAGGUUUAUUGUUUUUGACUUUUCUUCCUUUUCCUCUCUUGAGGGCUUGAAGGUAUACUUUUACUGGGAAUAAAAUAAAACCUUAAACCUUUUCAUUUGAAA